AGUGCUGGGCAUUGCCGGCAAACGUCUCGCAGCGGCUGAGGUUUUCCUCCUGCACCGGGCUGCCCACGUUCUCCUCGCUGGGCCCCGAGGCCGCUGCGCCCUCCUGGGAGUUCUGGCUAAGAUCUUCCAGGAUAAAAAGGAAAGUGUAAAUGCUGCCAGCUACUAAUUGCUGUUGAUUCACUCCUUUGUCUCAGAGGAUCUGAGAAGCUGCCAAGGCAGGUUGCACAAAAAAUUAUGGGACAAAAGAGGAACUUCCUGAUCAGAAAGGUGGAUUUUUAGGGCUCGAGUCUCAUGUACACUUGCUGGUUUUGUAUGUCUGAAGAUAGAUCAGCCAUGUAGCCACUGCCAGUUCCCAGCAAUGACUCUGUUCUUCUGAUGUUGAGCCUGCACAUUUACCAUCAAUUCCCUGUCUUGUCAGGCAGGCAGAGCUUCUUCCUGAGCCUACAAGCCUCUGGGGCUCUGGUUAGCAGAACAGACCACUCAAAGGCAAUGAAGGACUCUCACUGCAGAACAGCAGGGCAAUAAAAAUGUCAAAUAAAAAGAAC